AUUUUGAAAUAUAAUGAAAAAUUAGAGUACAGAAAUGCUAAUAUGUUGUCUGUAUGUUACAGGAUGGCUUGCCACUGGCCCUGUCAUUGUCAUCUUGUCUAUGAUGACUCGUGUAUUCGUUGUGUUAUCAGUUGAAGCAGACGUGUGCUUUGGGUGUGGGUGUGUCACAGGGCAAAUGGCUGUGGCUAAACUGUUGAGUGACAGAGCUGUAAACUGGAAAGCCUGGGAGUUUAUUGAUGCUAUGGAAUGGAGCCAAGAUGAGAAGGCUGACAUGCCUUGUGGGUAGAUUGUUGACAUACAGAUGGUGGCAGUGUCAAUGGGAGCUGGUGGAACGUGUUCUAUACUGUUUGCAUUCUUUGCCUCAUGAAUAUGAAGUGCACAUGUAUUGCCAUUCUUUUUGUAAGUUUCAGAUCAAGAACUGCAGGGUUUAUUUUGGUGAAAUUUGAUUAUGCUAUGCCAUUAAAGGUAACCCCAAAUUUGUACUGUUUAAUUUUCUAAAAUAGGUAUUAACAAUAUGGUGGAUGCUCAGACUAGUAAGGUGGUACCAACUCCAGAACUACUGAAUGUACGGCCCUGAAAUGAUAGCAGUAGAUAAUAAAAUAUUCAACUUUUGUUAAGGUAUGUGAAAUGUGAGGAUCUCAUGAAGAUGGCAAUAUUGUCCUUUUGAGUUUUGAAGCCAUGAGGACUUGUAGAUAGACACUUUUAGGUCCACAUGGGAUCUCAACUCAGAAGAACAUUAUCUUUGUUUUGUUCAGGUGAUUGUUCUGUAGAAUGUAAAGCAAGGACAUGGCAGGUUUAUAAAUAUUGUCUUCAAAUUUAAGUUUGACUGUGAUAACUAAUGAGCAGUUAUAGUUAGAUAUGUGAAAUUUUGUACAGAGAUAGAUUAUAAAUGUACCUAAAAAUCACAUGAAAUACUGUUUGUAAGUCAACAGUUACAGACAUGGUGACAAUAUAAAACUUUGAGGUUAUGUUCAACAAAUUUCACAUAGUGUGUGUAUAUAGUUUGUCCUCUCAAAGAAAAACAUUUUCUCACAUAUUUACAGUUGCAAGUGAUGAAGGCAUUUGACCUGAGUUGAAUUUCAUCAUAUGAUCAUCUCUGCGUGAGACAAGAUCAGCAACUCAUGAGCUACAUUGCAUUAUGGGAGAUGGUGCACAGUCAUAAUGAUUUACAGCUGAGUAUAACUGACAGUUGCAAUUGUAUUUGGUUGGAUUCACUAUUUACACUGAACUCAAUAAUCAAACCUUUGGGUUUGAAGUUCAUCUAAUCAAUAAUUAAAAAUUCAUUUACUACUGUAAAGAAAACAACCCAUCACCAAAGAUCUGUUGUUGAUGCUGUUUAUGGAAAUAAUUGCUGUGUUAUUUGAGAAUAAUACGAAACCCAUAAAUAUAUUCUGUGGUAAAAUGCAGAAUUACUGAACAUUAAAGGUGGUGGUACACACAAUUACAACUCAGCCUUAAAAGGUUAAAUAUUAAUUUUGGAACGUUAUCAGAGCAACUACUACAAGACUAAAUUGUUAAUUGACUUCACUGGAAUGCUAUCUGAACAUAGUCAGUAUAGCAUUAGAAUUGCAAUUAGAACGUAUUUAGAUUCUAUAGAUCCUUCACAGUUCAAGCCAAGGAUGUGGAAGAUGUCAUAGUAUGAAUAUGAACAUUUAGUACAAUAAAAUAUGAAAACAAAAUAAAAAAAAGAUAUCAAACCAUUGCUAGGACAUUCAGGAAGCCAAGGUGCAGAGAAUGAACUCAGAAACUCUGUGGGUUCUGCACCUUUCCAGUUUUUUUGUAUGUGGCAAAAGAAAACAUACAUCGGAGAUCUGUUGAUCAAGUUGCAUAAUUUUAAAUGUAUUUCUCUUUGCUGAACUGGAGUUCUGUUCUGUUUAGAACCAUAUUCUUUUGAUCAUAUUAUAUGAAUUAAUUCCCCCUUUUUGCCCCUGAUGAUGACUUCUUGAGGUGGAAACGCGUUUGGCAUUAGUGUCCUUUAUAUUGUAAACAGUUUUGUUUUUAUAAUCCAAUGCACUACACAGUAUGCAAGGUUUUAAGGGAAUUUUCUGUUUGUCAUCACAUCCAGGCUGACCGUGGAGUUAAUUUAGCCUCCUAUAGAAUCGAUCGGUAUCUUAUGCUCCUUCCCAUGCGGUCAGAGCAUAAAGCUCUACCUCCAUUCCCCAUAUGUCGUCGUGUGGUGAUUAACCUUUAAUGUGUCCUUUUGGAAGAGGAGUUGAAACCCUGUACAUGAGGGCUGCUGGACAGUCUUUAACUCUGGGAUUUAUGAUUUAGCAGUGUUUUACUGCAAUGCAUGGUCAGCUGGGCUGAACGUAAGCUUUGAUGCAAUUGAUGAAGGUUAAUGAAGCACGAGGACAUCUUUACCGUUUACUUGCAUUAGCAUUACUUUGUGCAGCCACAGCUCCUUACUCUGGGACUGUUGGGAUCUACAAUGUAUUUUUUUGUGUGUGUGUCUUGUAUAAUUUCCCAGGAAGUCUGUUUAUCCUUUGUCUUCUUUUUAAAAAUUGACGUUAUUUACACUUCAGGAGGUACAUAACGUAAUGUACCCUCUGAUCAUCUUCAAUUCCUGUUAACUCACAUUUUUCCAAUCUGAAUGAUUCUGAUUUUGGCAGCAUUUAUUUUCUGAUUUCUUUCCCUUGUCCCCUAACUUUUAUUCCCCCUUACCAUCAAUGGAUUGUUAACCUUUUAAUUUACUGUUUCCAUAAGCGUUUGUUACCUUCCAUCUUGCUAGCUAAAUGACAUGUCUCGUCUUCUACUAUUUAUCCUGCUGUUACAUUUUUUCUCUCUUAUUUUGGAGUUAUGUCACCUUGACAAACAUUUUACCCUUCUCUUUCCUGUUUCUUUCUUGAGUCAUGUCCAGUUACCUGUUCAUAUGCCCAUGUCCCAGUGAAUUUAAUUUUUUUCUAAUUAACACCUUGAGACACAUUUUCAAAAAAAUAUUAAUGUAUGUAAACAGUUUGUCGCUUUAAGUGUUCAUUCACUGUGAUAACAGUAGGAAAACUUAUCUGAAUUUUUGUGGAUAAAGAACAAUCUUGAAUUGGUGACAGAAAUUCAUAAACCAUUUUCUGCCAUAUCUGACUGCAAUGAUGGAUUUUUUCCAUUCUUGUAAGACAACAGAAUCCUCUUUGUGUUUAUGUGUAUAUUGGAAUGUUGCUGUAAGGACUUUCCAGUGCGUCUGGGUUUCUGUAAUUGUGUGCCAGAACCAAGACAGAAAAAUUUUCUGUUGUUGCUGUACUCCCCUUCAAGUGUUCAUCUCUUGCAGCUGAAGGGUCCAGUGCAAAAGUGUGAUGGGUCCAGGUUUGACUGAAGUUGUUUCUUCGCGCAUAAAAAGAUCAAAGGUGGAAGAAUACCAUGACUUCAAUCAUUAGUUUCAUUAAUAUGUGAAAAGAAAUGCCUUAUUGAGGUUUAAGUAGGAGUUUGAAUUCUUAAACAUCCUUUUGUAGUGUUUCAAAAGUCAGUUAAAGAGAAAUCACAUUCUUCUUGUACUGGAUCCUUUUAGGAAUGAUAUUGUAUGACUUUGUGGUGCACAUGUUUUGACUCAUACAAAACCUUUUUUUAAUAUUAAGGAUAUCACCAAAUGUUAUUUUUAUCACCAUCAUAUCUUAUGAAUACUGGCAGAAAUAUAUUCUUUGUAUCAAAUGUUGAGACAUAAUUAUGCGAAUAUUAACAUUGUUUACUACUUUACAUGUUUCAGCCUUUAUGAGGCAGUAAGCAGUGUCCACGCUUAAUAAAGUUACACUCGGGUUCAUUUUAAGAUGCAACAGUAAGAGCCAUAAAACCAGUUUCAAAGAAAUUGCAGUUUUCUAAAUAAAGAGUAUUUUAAAACCACUACAUUUUUAUUUUGUGGUCUCAUGAUGUUGCACUGUGCAAUAUUAUGUCACUUAUGCUCUUUUAGGGCACCAGGCUGCUUCCAUCUUCAGGGUUGGAGUAGGAUUUUGGUUACUCCUGCCAAAUUAACAUCAACUAGAAUGGUAAGUGGAGUUAAUUUCUGAUUUUUUAAACUUAUAGAUACUGUGUAGACAGUUACUGAUGACUAUGCUAGCAUGAUGAAUAAUUGAAUUGGGUGGCUAGGAACAAAUCCCAGUGGACACAUUUCAGUUUUGUAUUAUCAACGUGUCCAAACACCUCUAGAGCCAAACCAAGUCUUUUGUCCAAAGGAUGUAAGGAGAUGGCUCAUUUCUGAGUUCACGUGCCAUGUAGUCUGGUUGAAGUUUACUGACAAUUCAGAGUUACUAGCUUCCUCCAAUCAUGAUGGCUAUAAGUCACACUGAUGAUGAAGACAGCAAGUACAUCUGAAAUACUGGUAAACUUCUACCGGACCACACAGUUUCACAACCCAGAAAACAGCCCUCUUCAGAUCUGCUGUCAUGAGUACCUCAAGUCCUACCUAAAGGAAGAAGGAUUGCAAAUGUGACCACUUGCGUUGUUUACGUGGAGCUCAUCAUUUACUUUCACAUUAAAUAUUAUGGUUGAUCCUUGUGGAGAGACUUGCACUUUGAUCCUUAAGCAGGCAGAAUUCAGAGCAAUGAGAAUAUGUAACCCAGACAUCUGCCCUCUUGAGAAGUGUAUCUUCAGGUCAUGAGGUUACUGUGAUAGGAUCAGUGUAAUUUGUUAUUUAUCCAGUGAAACCCUCUGAUGGGCACGAUCUGUUUCACGCCAAAUGUCAGAGGUGUGACAAGUGAG